rnacentral:rRNA from 1 species
ACGGCUCAGUAACACGUCGGUAACCUACCCUCGGGAGGGGGAUAACCCCGGGAAACUGGGGCUAAUUCCCCAUAGGCCUGAGGUACUGGAAGGUCCUCAGGCCGAAAGGGACUUAUGUCCGCCCGAGGAUGGGCCGGCGGCCGAUUAGGUAGUUGGUGGGGUAAUGGCCCACCAAGCCGAAGAUCGGUACGGGCUGUGAGAGCAGGAGCCCGGAGAUGGACACUGAGACACGGGUCCAGGCCCUACGGGGCGCAGCAGGCGCGAAACCUCCGCAAUGCGGGAAACCGCGACGGGGGGACCCCGAGUGCCGUGGCAACGCCACGGCUUUUCCGGAGUGUAAAAAGCUCCGGGAAUAAGGGCUGGGCAAGGCCGGUGGCAGCCGCCGCGGUAAUACCGGCGGCCCGAGUGGUGGCCGCUAUUAUUGGGCCUAAAGCGUCCGUAGCCGGGCCCGUAAGUCCCUGGCGAAAUCCCACGGCUCAACCGUGGGGCUUGCUGGGGAUACUGCGGGUCUUGGGACCGGGAGAGGCGGGGGGUACCCCUGGGGUAGGGGUGAAAUCCUAUAAUCCCAGGGGGACCGCCAGUGGCGAAGGCGCCCCGCUGGAACGGGUCCGACGGUGAGGGACGAAGGCCAGGGGAGCAAACCGGAUUAGAUACCCGGGUAGUCCUGGCUGUAAAGGAUGCGGGCUAGGUGUCGGGUGAGCCUCGAGCUCGCCCGGUGCCGUAGGGAAGCCGUUAAGCCCGCCGCCUGGGGGAGUACGGCCGCAAGGCUGAAACUUAAAGGAAUUGGCGGGGGAG